rnacentral:rRNA from 1 species
UACGUAGGGUGCAAGCGUUAUCCGGAAUUAUUGGGCGUAAAGACCUCGUAGGCGGUUUGUCGCGUCUGCUGUGAAAACUGGGGGCUCAACCCCCAGCCUGCAGUGGGUACGGGCAGACUAGAGUGCGGUAGGGGAGAUUGGAAUUCCUGGUGUAGCGGUGAAAUGCGCAGAUAUCAGGAGGAACACCGGUGGCGAAGGCGGAUCUCUGGGCCGAUACUGACGCUGAGGAGCGAAAGCGUGGGGAGCGAACAGG